rnacentral:rRNA from 1 species
UACGUAGGGGGCAAGCGUUGUCCGGAAUUAUUGGGCGUAAAGAGCUUGUAGGCGGUUUGUCGCGUCUGCUGUGAAAUUUCGGGGCUCAACCCCGAACUUGCAGUGGGUACGGGCAGACUAGAGUGUGGUAGGGGGAGACUGGAAUUCCUGGUGUAGCGGUGAAAUGCGCAGAUAUCAGGAGGAACACCGAUGGCGAAGGCAGGUCUCUGGGCCACUACUGACGCUGAGAAGCGAAAGCAUGGGGAGCGAACAGG